rnacentral:rRNA from 1 species
AGAUUAAGCCAUGCAUGUCUCAGUACAGGCCUUUAUACGGUGAAACCGCGAAUGGCUCAUUAAAUCAGCUAUGGUUUAUUGGAUCAUACCCGUUAAAUGGAUAACUGUAAUAACUCUAGAGCUAAUACAUGCCUCGAUGCCCUGACCCUGUCCUCCUGUGGCUCGUUGUAGCUGCAGUCGAGGGUGGGGGAGGGGUGCACUUAUUAGAUCAGAAGCCAACCGGCGUUGCGCGUGUAUUCAUGUGCAAGGCUGAAGCACUUCUGGUGACUCUGGAUAAUUGUUACAGAUCGCAGUCGGCCUUGAGUCGGCGACGGGUCCUUCAAAUGUCUGCCCUAUCAACUUUCGAUGGUAGGUGACCUGCCUACCAUGGUGAUAACGGGUAACGGGGAAUCAGGGUUCGAUUCCGGAGAGGGAGCCUGAGAAACGGCUACCACUUCCAAGGGAGGCAGCAGGCGCGCAAAUUACCCACUCCCAGCACGGGGAGGUGGUGACGAAAAAUACCGAUGCGGGACUCCUUCAAGAGGCUCCGUAAUCGGAAUGAGUGGACUCUAAAUCCUUUCACGAGGGUCAAUUGGAGGGCAAGUCUGGUGCAAGCAGCCGCGGUAACUCCAGCUCCAAUAGCGUAUAUUAAAGUUGCUGCAGUUAAAAAGCUCGUARUUGGAUCUCGGUGGCGUNGUGUCUGCCGGUAUUUGGGGCGGYGGUGUGUGGNUUGGGCGGCACAURUUGCUGUGCCUGCCUAAUACCUGUCAAUGUGCUCGGCUUCGCCUGUGACAAAACACRGCGGUGGGUCGGGUCUUUGAACAAAUUUGAGUGCUCAAAUCAGGCCGACGUUGCCUGAAAAGUUUUGCAUGGAAUAAUGGAAUAGGACUUCGGUUCUAUUUCGUUGGUUUUUGGAUCCGAAGUAAUGAUCAAAAGGGACAGGCGGGGACGUUUGUAUGGCUGCGCUAGAGGUGAAAUUCGUGGACCGUAGCCAGACAAACUAAAGCGAAAGCAUUCGUCAAGCAUGUUUUCAUUGACCAUGAGCGAAAGUCAGAGGCUCGAAGACGAUCAGAUACCGUCCUAGUUCUGACCAUAAACGAUGCCAACUGACGAUCCGUGGUGGUAGUUCUAAAACCUUCCCCACGGGCAGUCCCCGGGAAACCUUUAAGUCUUUGGGUUCCGGGGGAAGUAUGGUUGCAAAGCUGAAACUUAAAGGAAUUGACGGAAGGGCACCACCAGGAGUGGAGCCUGCGGCUUAAUUUGACUCAACACGGGAAAACUCACCCGGGCCGGACACUAUGAGGAUUGACAGAUUGAUAGCUCUUUCUUGAUUUGGUGGUUGGUGGUGCAUGGCCGUUCUUAGUUGGUGGAGCGAUUUGUCUGGUUAAUUCCGAUAACGAACGAGACUCCGGGCUGCUAA